rnacentral:rRNA from 1 species
GCGAUUCGCCCUUGCGCAGGCGCGAAAACUUUACAAUGCGGGAAACCGUGAUAAGGGAACUCCGAGUGCCCGUAAAAUCGGGCUGUCCAUCUGUUUAAAUAACAGGUGAAGAAAGGGCCGGGCAAGACCGGUGCCAGCCGCCGCGGUAAUACCGGCGGCUCGAGUGGUGGCCACUAUUACUGGGCUUAAAGCGUUCGUAGCUGGUCUGUUAAGUCUCUGGGGAAAUCUACUGGCUUAACCAAUAGGCGUUUCAGGGAUACUGGCAGACUAGGGACCGGGAGAGGUGAGGGGUACUCCAGGGGUAGGAGUGAAAUCCUGUAAUCCUUGGGGGACCACCUGUGGCGAAGGCGCCUCACCAGAACGGCUCCGACAGCGAGGGACGAAAGCUGGGGGAGCAAACCGGAUUAGAUACCCGGGUAGUCCCAGCCGUAAACGAUGCGCGUUAGGUGUAUCGGUGACCACGAGUCACCGAGGUGCCGAAGAGAAAUCGUGAAACGUGCCGCCUGGGAAGUACGGUCGCAAGGCUGAAACUUAAAGGAAUUGGCGGGGGAGCAC